UCCCGCAACGAGCGCAACCCUUGUCCUUAUUUGCCAGCAUUAAGUUGGGUACUCUAAGGAGACUGCCGGUGACAAACCGGAGGAAGGUGGGGACGACGUCAAGUCAUCAUGGCCCUUACGAGUAGGGCUACACACGUGCUACAAUGGCGAGUACAAAGGGAUGCAAACUGGUGACAGUAAGCGGACCCCUUAAAGCUCGUCGUAGUCCGGAUUGGAGUCUGCAACUCGACUCCAUGAAGUCGGAAUCGCUAGUAAUCGUAGGUCAGCAUACUACGGUGAAUACGUUCCCGGGCCUUGUACACACCG
rnacentral:rRNA from 1 species